UGGGGGAUAUUGCACAAUGGGCGAAAGCCUGAUGCAGCGACGCCGCGUGGGGGAUGAAGGCUUUCGGGUUGUAAACCUCUUUCGCUAUCGAACAAGGCCCGCUUAGGGUGGGUUGAGGGUAGGUGGAGAAGAAGCGCCGGCUAACUACGUGCCAGCAGCCGCGGUAAUACGUAGGGCGCGAGCGUUGUCCGGAAUUAUAGGGCGUAAAGGGCUUGUAGGCGGCUUGUUGCGCCUGCUGUGAAAACGCGGGGCUUAACUUCGCGCGUGCAGUGGGUACGGGCAGGCUUGAGUGUGGUAGGGGUGACUGGAAUUCCAGGUGUAGCGGUGGAAUGCGCAGAUAUCUGGAGGAACACCGAUGGCGAAGGCAGGUCACUGGGCCAUUACUGACGCUGAGGAGCGAAAGCAUGGGUAGCGAACAGG
rnacentral:rRNA from 1 species